GAUGAAGAACGUAGCGAAAUGCGAUAAGUAGUGUGAAUUGCAGAAUACAGUGAAUCAUCGAAUCUUUGAACGCACAUUGCGCCCCUUGGUAUUCCAUGGGGCAUGCCUGUUCGAGCGUCAUUUGUACCUUCAAGCUCUGCUUGGUGUUGGGUGUUUGUCUCGCCUCUGCGUGUAGACUCGCCUCAAAACAAUUGGCAGCCGGCGUAUUGAUUUCGGAGCGCAGUACAUCUCGCGCUUUGCACUCAUAACGACGACGUCCAAAAGUACAUUUUUACACUCUUGACCUCGGAUCAGGUAGGGAUACCCGCUGAACUUAAGCAUAUCAAUAAGCGGAGGA
rnacentral:misc_RNA from 1 species